AUUGGGGCAUGUAAAUAGAUGUUGUUAAGAAUUCAUAGAUAUUUUAGCUUUUUAUAGUAUUAUUUAUGCUGUUUUAUUGCAAAUUAUGAAAUGGACACUUCACUGGAUUCCAUUUGUUGAUUUUCUUGGAAUUGCAAUUCAGUAAAUUCAUCUUCCUGUCAUUCCACUUCAAAUUAAAAAAGAUAAAAGAUCAUUUUUUAGGGUGUGGAGGGCAGGGGAUUGGUGGAUGCUGAUGAUGGUGGGUGGGUGUCUCCCUCCUGCCCUCACUGCACACUAAGAUAAGCUCACCACAAACACCCGAAAUUGCAAAGCUGAAGGGUUGCAUCACUGGCUGCUCCAAUACCCAAAAACACAUAAUAUGGCUGAGGAGAAAAGUCUUGAAAAGAGCUUAAAGGAAUACAGAGGAGCUGAAACCAAGAAGAAAGCAAAGAAAAACAAAGGCCAACCAUGGGCUAAAGAGGGGCUGAGGGACACUUUUGAAAUGCUGGACUCACUUUCAGAGGAGAAGCAACAAGAGAUACAGAAAGCCCUGCACCUCUUUUCUCUGGGCCAGGGACCUCCAAAGAACCUCCAGGAGGCUCAUAGAUACACAUACCGCUUUUGGGAUACCCAGCCAGUCCCUAAAAUAGAUGAGAAAGUGACAUCGCAAGGAGCCAUAGAAUCGGAGAGGCCCAGUAUUCGAGAGGAGCCAUACUCUCUUCCAAAGGGAUUCAUCUGGGACAAACUCGACCUGGACAACCAGGAGCAGCUGAGGGAACUGUGUGAAUUUCUAAACAAAAAUUAUACAGAGGAAGAUGACAACACACUUCGCUUGCACUACUCUCCACAGUUCUUGCUCUGGGCUCUGUGCCCCCCUGGUUGGCAAUCACAAUGGCAUUGUGGAGUCCGGGUAAAUGCCAGUCAAAAGCUAGUUGGAUUCAUAAGUGCCAUUCCUGCAACAAUUAAAAUAUUUGACACAGAGAUAAAGAUGAUGGAGGUGAACUUCCUGUGUGUGCACAAAAAACUACGCUUUAAGAGAAUGGCACCAGUCCUGAUCAAAGAGAUCACCAGAUGCGUCCACCAACAGGGUGUAUUUCAAGCAGUCUACAGUGCCAGUACAGUCUUACCAAAACCCAUCGCUAGCUGUAGGUACUGGCACAGAUCUCUGAACCCACGCAAGUUGAUUGAGCUGAAUUUCUCCUCGCUCGCUCCUAACAUGACCUUCCAACGGGCCCUCAAGCUAAACAAGCUUCCUCAGAUCAGAACGCCCUCCCAUGGGCCAAAUGUGGCAUGACUCAUUCUGAUAACGAGCUCCUAGGACUUUUUUUUUUACUUCUCCUAAUGUCAUCUCUUUUCUAUUUGCUAUAUAACAACAGACAACAAAAAUCGUAGGCCUUCGCCCCAUGACUGUGGAGGAUGUGCCCGUGGUUUGCUAUCUUUUGAGAGAACAUUUACAGACUUUUCAUCUCUCUCCUGUUCUGACCCAGGAGGAUGUCCAACACUGGCUUUUGCCACAAGAUGGUGUAAUAAACACAUAUGUGGUGGAGGUCAGUAUGAUGACAUAACUCAAUCCAGCAAACCAAACUGAUGGACAAGAAGUAAACCCCUUCCCAUAUGUAUGUCUGAAUCUGAUUGGACCACUUUCACCAAAUGUUAAUGCAACUAUAACUACAGUGGCCCACAAAGUAAUCGCACACAUUUAGACACUUACUUCACUCAUAACAAUGAAAGAAUUUCUUUCUUUUCUUUCAUAAAUUCAUAGUAUUCCCACCUCUUCAGACACUACUACACCACUGAUUCAUACAUUUCCAACUGUGACAUUGUGACAUGUGGUCCACUGUACAUGGCAUAGACAUUUUCUAAAAGUGAAUGAAACAGGUAGUGUAGAUGGGCUGCUUACACUUUGCUAGAGAGGACACAUCUGUAUUAUACAGAUUCCAUAUUUUCCAUUAACGCUUUCCAUGUGUUUUAGCAGAGAAUGGAUAGUACUGUUACUGACAUGGUGAGUUUCUACACACUUUCUUCUACGGUUCUGAACCACCCUGUGCAUAAGAGCCUGAAGGCAGCCUGUGCUCUCUACUGCAUAAGCACGGCCACCCCACUGCUGCAGUUAAUGGACGACAUCCUUAUCAUCUGUAAAGCAACAGGGUUUGAUGUGUUCACUACACUGGAUGUAAUGGAUUAUAAAGCAUUUUUGGAGCCACUUAAGUUCAGAUGGAUGCAAGCAAUAUUACCUCUACAACUGGAGAUGCCCUGACAUAGCAUCAGACAAGGUGGGCAUUGUGCUGAAGUAAUGCCCUUUUUGUGCCACAUGAAUACACAAGUGUUCAGAGGAGAAUCUCAUCUAAUAAUAAAUAAAACUUUAUUGACA